AGGCUUCACUUUGUGUUAAUAUAAUACAUUUGCAUCUACAUUAAGUGUGUGGCCCGCGAAGUGUGCCACCAUUCAUGAAGUGGCCCUCCAUCAAAUAUAAUUGCCCACCCCUGGUGUAGAGUGUGUGUGCAUAAGUUUCUGUACUGUAUAUGCCUACUGUACUGUGCACAUGAUGUACAUUUAAUGUACAUAAAUAUCUCAUAUAUACUGAACAUGAACUAUACAGCAUAUCUUUCAUUUGUGUAUUAAAAUCAAUGUGAAUAUGUUUUUCCCUAAUUAAUAUACUUUUUAUGUUGAAUUGAUAUUUCAGGUCUUGACAAGAUGUUAGCCAGAUAAGAUAUAUAGCAAUGUGGUUAUGGAAAUGGUCAGUCAGAGCAACUUUAAUUUCUCUUACAGCUCAGUACAACCUUCUCUCUGAGGAAAGUUGUACUGAAAUGUAAAAGAAAUUAGAACUCUUUUUUUUACUAAUUGUUUCCAUAACCACCCUUCUAUCAUUAUGUGAGGCAUAGAGAAUAAUAAGGGCAUAGGUCUGAAUAUCUCAACUCGGCUCAAUUUCGAGGUUGUGCUGCAUGAUUUUGGCCCUUGUUUUCUUAUGGGGAUUGCUUGACAUCAUUACCUGAUAGAAGAAUGUUGGGGCUAUGGACUAACUUAGAAUAUGGGAAAUUGGACAAUCCGGUGAUACGCCCCUGCUUUUCUAAAUGCCUCAUAUGUUGUGAUGGAUGUUCAGCAAUAUACAGAAUCCUUUACACUGCUUCUGUCAUUAAAAAAAUCUUUAUCACUACAGAGUUAAAUUACUGUACUUAAAAUAUGUAUUGACUUAAACCUACUUGUCCUGUGAUGGAAUUCUGUACAGAAUGAUGAUAAUCUUAUGUUGGCAGUCAAACAAAUUUUUCUGGUUAACCUUAUUAUUUCACAAUACAGUUUAUAUGAACAUCAGUCAAACUACGUAUUAUUCAAUCAGUUACUGAAUAUCUUAAAGUCUGUGUAAUUUUGUUGGUGGUGAGAAAAAAGUUAAAUUACUAUUUUGUUUCAUGCAUUAAUUGUUCUUAGAUCUCAAACUGUAUUAUUCUGGAGUUAUUUGCUGCCACUAAUAUAACUGCCAUGUUGAAAGAUACUGUAUGCUUUUGGUGGCAUAAUUAUAUCUAAAGAUUGUCUCAUGGCUUCUGUCCAAAACUUAUCAAGUUAUCCACCCAGUUAAAAGACCAAUGUUAUUAAAAACAAAACAAAAAAUACACUGUGGCUCAUCAUAUGGACAUGUUUCUCGCAAUGGCCAAGAAAUUGUCCUCUCUCCUUGUGAUUCUUGCUCAAGGUUAGGUUUCUCGAGAAUUGCAAUAGACAAUGUGACGAGAUUUGUCCGUAUGAUUGGCUUUGGCUUAAAACUUUAUCAGCCGACCACCAUAUCGACAAUGAGGUACCACUUGUUGCAUGGCAGGGGAGAGGAGGCCAUGAGGUAGAAUCAUCACCAAAGAAUAUGCAAAGUAUACAAAACUGUAUUGUAUUGAAAUGUCAUUGAUUUGAUCUACUGUUAAAAGUUUUCAGUAAUGUUUCGUUAAUACCAUUAUGCUUUAUAACUCCACCCCAUAACUAUUUUUAAAAAAGUUAUCCCUUUCAGGUGUCUUACUACUCAAUGCUUGUUUAACUGUCGAGGCCCACAGAGCUAACUCGCACAAGGACAGAGGCUGGGAGAAGUUUACCGACUCGGUCAUCAAAACAAUAUCAGAACAUAAUAAAGGUGUUGUUUUCCUUUUGUGGGGAUCAUAUGCCCAGAAUAAAGCUGCUGUUGUUAAUAAGAAGAAACAUCAUCUGCUCAAGGCUGCAUUACCACUGUUUGGUCAUCGUGGGUUCUUUGGAUGCAAACACUUCUCCAAGUGUAAUGAACUUCUUGAGAAGGGGGGGAAGAAGCCAAUAGAUUGGACAUAUUUGCCACCACAUAUAUAAUAAGGAUGAAUUGAAGUUCAUGAUCAUCAGUGUUUUACAACCAUUUUCAUUUGUAAAUGUUGCCUUUGCCUUGUUCAUUACAGUACUAUUUUUUUAACACUGAUUAACCCUAUUUCACAUCAAGAUGUGAAUUGUGUCAAAUCAUUAGGUAGUGCUAUUUGCUUCGUUGAUGCGAAUUAUGUCAUCGAACUUUAAAAAAAAAAUUUACUCCCCAAAAAGUUUUCAAGCGCAUUGGGUCAAAUUUUCGUGCAUCAUUGAUGACUCCAUGAUCUUGCUGGGGAAGCUUCUGAUUGGUCACAUUUGCACCUUUUUGCCUUUUCCAUAUGUCUGGUAAAUGUUUUUGACUGAUGGAGAGGCAUUUGUUUACAAAUUUGUUUUUGUUUUAUUCUAUAUUGCCAAAUGAGAAGUUUCAGUUUCCUCUGUUUUGUCAUCUGCUACCUACAACUAUUCAUUUCACUCUUUAUACAGUUAUACAUAGAUAACAAAUAUGGUUGUUCCAGGCACCAAUAUGUGUCAGUACUGAUGCAGGAAGGUAAGCAAGCCUAUUCAUGGCACGUACUUAGUUAAAGUCUAGCCACCAAAAGAUUCUCUUCAGUAGUAUUGAAGAAUGGAAAGUGUUGGGUCUGAUGGACCAGCAUCAGAAACAGGUGGAGAGUGAUUUAUUGCUAGAAAAGGCUGAUGCUCACUAUUUGGUGCUUUCACUACCAUUGUCCUAUGCAUUCAUAUGCCAGAAGGAAGGCAAGAAUAUAAUUUAUAUUUAAUACUGUACAGGUAUUGUUUAUUUUUACAUAAAAAACUUUCUUUACAUAAUUUGUAUUAUUUCUUUCUAAACAGUCAGUUUUAUGUGUACUGUAUAUGAGGUAUGUGAGCAUUUUAAGGGUUAAAGAUUUUUGUGGCAAUUGUGUGAAUGUUUGUAUUACAACAAAUAUUGUCAUAACUUGAUGUGUGAGGUCGCCCACAAGUUUAUAAAAUGUUUCGAAACAUCCUGUAUUUAAUAUGAAGAAUAAGAAAGUGAAAUUUUGUUUGCAUGUGAAACAAUUUGAGGUUUUUGUUUGAAGACCAUUACAGUGUUAGUCUUUGUGAAUAAAUUUAAGAAUUAUGAGAAUAGUUUUAACUUAUUAUGUGUCAUUCUCUGUCAAGGAGGAAACUGUGGUAGAGCUGGAGUGUAUGAAGUUCUCAGGAGUAUUUUAUAAUACAAUACAGGUACCCUGUACUGUACUGUAACUGAAAUUAAACUUCAUUAUUAGUUGUAACAGAAUCAAAUUUUAUAGGUAUGAAAACUUCAUUCAUGAAUUCACAGCAACACUGGCUGACGAGUUGUCAGUUUGCAUUAAUAUUUCUGUACAUUAUUUACAGUAUAAAGCCAACAUCCCCCGCUCUCACUACACCACUAUACACACAUGCAAAAGGUCUAUUCUUUAAACCCUUGGUAUGGUUCCCUUCAGAUAGACAGACUUGGUGAACACAAGUUUUAGGGAAUUUUAUAAUGACUUCAUUUGUGUGAAUAAUUUUUAGGGU